GAUGUAACCCUCUUGCCUGGGUUUUGUUUUAAGGGAGCCUUAUGACAUAUCUCAGGACCCAGCACUCAGUUUAUGUGGUUCUUCUGCCCAGUUUCUGCCCACAUGUUAGACUGUGACAAAUACAUAGGGAAGCACCUAGGUGAUAAGAUUCUUUUUUUCUACCUCAAGCCUGCAUACUGGGGAAAUUGGAACACAUCUCUGAGCCCAUGACAUAACUGAUAUGACUUUCUUCUCUUGCCUGGAUCUUUACAAUGCGGGGAUUGUGACAUAUUUCUGAGCCCAGCCCUUAGGUAAUAUGACUAUCCUCAUUUUUCUGAAUCAUGCACACAAGGGGAAAUUUUGAUCUAUUGCAGGGCCCAGAACCCAAAUGAUGUUACUCUUCUGCCUAAGUCCUGAAUUAAGAUGGAAUUAUGGCAUAUUGCUGGGCCCAGCACCCUGAUGAUGUGACUCUCCUGCCUGUUCCAGAGCCACAGAAGAUGCUUCCUGCCCUCAAACAUCGGAUUCCAAGUUCUUCAGUUUUGGGACUCGGACUGGCUCUCCUUGCUCCUCAGCUUGCUGACAGCCUGUUGUUGGACCUUGUGAUCAUGAGACAGUGUGCAAUCUGAUCCCCAGAGAAUUCUAUCGGGGCAUGCUUCAACUACUCAGCAAGUGGACAUCUUUUACAUGAAGAUUUCUGCUCCUGAGAGAAGAUAUCUGUCUCCUUGGGCUGCACAGCCAUCCUCUUAUGUGUGAACUGGGCCACAAUCCUCUUAAGACAAUCUCACAUGGAAGUCUUAUUGGGACUCUCAUUUUGGGCAAUGCUUGUCUCUGAUGUCAUCUAAACAACUUACCAAAACCUCAGGUAACCCCCACUGUGCUCCAAAGAAGGUUCUCUUUUGUGGUGUCAAUCCUGACAGAUGCAACCUGAACAUCCCUUUGGGCCCCAGGGAGCACUGGUCUCUCCAUUUUGGAGAGAAUGUGAUUUUUCAUCUCUUGCUUGGGAGCAUGGAUAUUUCUGAAUAACCACAACCAUAAAUUCUAUUAAGAGAGACACCACACUUUAUUUCAUCUCUCUAUUAGAUAAGAUAAACUGAAUAGGAAGGAAUCAAACAUUAAAAAGCCCUCCCUACUCCUCAUUUUUUAAAAUUGGAAUAGCUUGGUGAAGAGAUGCUAAAGAGAAUACUUCUAAAACUAAGCUUAAGUGUGAUUUUUGAAAAUUUAAAUUUUAAGGUACUCUACAAAUAACUCAGAGUGCUUUGCCUCACUGUGACCCAACCAUAUGUGUGGGUUUAGAAGCCUAAUUAUAUGUUAUUUAUAAAUAUAACUUACCAGAUAAUUGCCUUGUGUGAAUAUCCAAGAUUGAAAUCAAUAGUAUGUUUAGAACCAAUUUUUGGUGAUGAGCAUAUAUAAGCUAACUUUUGGAUAAGCCAUGCAUAGCUACUUAUUUUAAAGAAUGCAGGAUAGUGGUGACCACACAUGCUGUCUGUUGGGUGAUGAAUUUUUAAAAAAUAUUUGUGUAUUUGCACUAUUAUAGUGUUGGCUUCCUCAAGGCCCUGGUGUGUUGAAUUUGCUAUGCUUUGGGGUAUGGGCAUGUGUUACAUACAGCUGUCUUCUAAAUAUGUUAGACCAUCUAUUGUGGUAAGAUUAAGUGAAUGAAAGUUGAAUAUAUUUUCUGUAAGUCCCUGAGAAAAUUAAUGAAAUAAGUGAAUAAAGAAAUACAUGUUUUCGAA